rnacentral:rRNA from 1 species
UACGAAGGGGGCUAGCGUUGUUCGGAAUUACUGGGCGUAAAGGGCGCGUAGGCGGCACCGCAAGUCGACUGUGAAAUCUCCGGGCUUAACUCGGAAAGGUCAGCCGAUACUGCGGGGCUAGAGUGCAGAAGGGGCAACUGGAAUUCUCGGUGUAGCGGUGAAAUGCGUAGAUAUCGAGAGGAACACCUGCGGCGAAGGCGGGUUGCUGGGCUGACACUGACGCUGAUGCGCGAAAGCUAAGGGAGCGAACGGG